GACGAACGCUGGCGGCGUGCUUAACACAUGCAAGUCGAACGAAGUGGCGAACGGGUGAGUAACGCGUAAUCAACCUGCCCUUCAGAGGGGGACAACAGUUGGAAACGACUGCUAAUAACGCAUACUGAAGGAGGGGAUGGCGUCUGAUUAGCUAGUUGGAGGGGUAACGGCCCACAAAGGCGAUGAACAGUAGCCGGUCUGAGAGGAUGCACGGCCACAUUGCGACUGAGACACGGCCCAGACUCCUACGGGAGGCAGCAGGGGGGAAUCUUCCGCAAUGGACGAAAGUCGGACGGAGCAACGCCGCGUGAGUGAUGACGGCCUUCGGGUUGUAAAGCUCUGUUAAUCGGGACGCGGUACCGGAAUAGAAAGCCACGGCUAACUACGUGCCAGUAGCCGCGGUAAUAC
rnacentral:rRNA from 1 species